GACGAACGCUGGCGGCGUGCCUAAUACAUGCAAGUAGAACGCUGAAGCGAGGAGCUUGCUCUUCUUGGAUGAGUUGCGAACGGGUGAGUAACGCGUAGGUAACCUGCCUUGUAGCGGGGGAUAACUAUUGGAAACGAUAGCUAAUACCGCAUAACAAUGGAUGACCCAUGUCAUUUAUUUGAAAGGGGCAAAUGCUCCACUACAAGAUGGACCUGCGUUGUAUUAGCUAGUAGGUGAGGUAACGGCUCACCUAGGCGACGAUACAUAGCCGACCUGAGAGGGUGAUCGGCCACACUGGGACUGAGACACGGCCCAGACGCCUACGGGAGGCAGCAGUAGGGAAUCUUCGGCAAUGGGGGCAACCCUGACCGAGCAACGCCGCGUGAGUGCAGAAGGUUUUCGGAUCGUAAAGCUCUGUUGUAAGUCAAGAACGAGUGUGAGAGUGGAAAGUUCACACUGUGACGGUAGCUUACCAGAAAGGGACGGCUAACUACGUG
rnacentral:rRNA from 1 species